UAGGGAAUCUUGCGCAAUGGGCGAAAGCCUGACGCAGCAACGCCGCGUGCGGGAAGACGGCCUUCGGGUUGUAAACCGCUUUCAGUAGGGACGAAAUUGACGGUACCUACAGAAGAAGCCCCGGCCAACUACGUGCCAGCAGCCGCGGUAAGACGUAGGGGGCAAGCGUUGUCCGGAAUCAUUGGGCGUAAAGAGCUCGUAGGCGGUUCGGCAAGUCGAGUGUGAAAACUCCAGGCUCAACCUGGAGACGCCACUCGAUACUGCUGUGACUAGAGUACGGUAGAGGAGUGUGGAAUUCCUGGUGUAGCGGUGAAAUGCGCAGAUAUCAGGAGGAACACCAACGGCGAAGGCAGCACUCUGGGCCGUAACUGACGCUGAGGAGCGAAAGCGUGGGGAGCAAACAGGAUUAGAUACCCCCGUAGUCC
rnacentral:rRNA from 1 species